AUGAAGCCUUCCUCUUGCAUCCAUACUGUUCAGGGAAUCUCAGCACAUAGCAUUGUGGCAUCCAUGGUUUUCUGAGGGUGAUUCCUAAGAAAUCACUGGAACCAGAAGAUCCUGAAAUGUGGAGUCAAAAUGGGACAAGGUGAAAAACUGUCAAUCAGUUAAUAAGAAGAGUGUGUUUCUAUUACCACAUAUACCCUUUUAAAAGCUGCUGAAGUAUAAAAGCUUUUACCAUUUGUGAAGUAAGUAGUCUGAAGAAAACAGAGCAAGCUGAAAACCUGACUGCAGUGGCUGGUGAGCUAUUACAUGACUUUCAGUGACAAACAAAGCCUUCUAUAGUGUCACAUUAAGCAGAAUAAAAUGUAUGGCUGAGUAAAAUAGUAAAAAUUGUACUUUCCUACUACAGGAAAAGUAGAAUAAAGAUAUGGACAAUUUUUUUUCAGGGGCAAGAGGAAGUGGCUUUAAACUGAAAGAGGGUAGAUUUCUACUAGGUAUUAGGAAGAAAUUCUUCACUAUGAGAGUGGUGAGACACUGGAACAGGUUGCCCAGUGAGGUCGUGAAUGCCAUCCCUGGAAGCAUUCAAGGCCAGGCUGGAUGGGGGUUUGAGUAGCCUGGUCUACUAGGAAGUGUCCCUGUGUAUAGCAGGGGGGUUGGAACAAGAUAAUCUUAAAGAUCCCUUCCAACCCAAACCGUUCUAUGAUUCUAUUCAAGAAGAUUCAUAACAAAUACUGAGAUUUGUAUAGAUUGUGAAAAAAAGAGAAAGAAAUAUGUCUGACAAGUGCCAACCAUAUGCCACAAUAAGCACAGCAUCAGGCUGCUGGAGAAACAGGGAGCAACACUAAAAAGCCAACCUGCUGAACCCUUCUGAGAUGAAGAUGUGAGUGUGGUUUCCUGAGUACUCCUGCUGGGAAGAGAAAUGCACGGAAAUCAUUACUAUAACAGUAUCAUUAAUAAUUCCAUUCAACAUCAUCAUUAAGUGUCCACACAUUUAAUUUUCUUAUGGCGCUCAAGAUGUUUUUCCAGCCCUGGAAGUUCAAGGAGGAUGGAACCUCCCAUUGUGGUUGAGUUCAGUAGACUGUCUUUCAAGAAGACCAUUUACAUUCUAGUGAAGCUACUAGCAUAGAUCAGCCUUUCAAUUUGAUUGAUUAAGAAAUGAGUUGGGUUCACUCUUAAAACUGCUCAGACCAGAAACGUGUAUUUUUCUCUGUGCUGCUUCAAACCAGGGAAACAAAACAAAACAAAAACAAACAAGCAAACAAACAAACAAAAGAAGUGCUUUCAUAUCACCAAAGACGUGCAGAACUUCAAGAAAUUUAAAUACAAUGAAAGGUUAUCUGUAACAUUUUCUGUUUUGUCAAAACAUACUCGGUGUCAGAGAAAGUAAUACUUGGGAAAACAUAUUUUAUACCAGCUAUGUAGAUGGGACACUAUUUUCCCCCCUGUACAGCCUCAUGAGUUCAGCUCAUAUUUCACUGUGAAAACCUUCACUCUGACCUAAGAUGAAUGCCUUUCCCACUGUGGUCUAGAAUGGGAGUUGCCUGGCUUAUCAGGUAGGGUGCUAGGCUGUUGGGAAGCAGAAGGAUAGCCAGCACACAGGUACAUCUCGCAGUUUUACAUGAUACCUAACAUCUCCCCAGGAAUUCCAGUGUGUAUUUGAGACAAAAACAAAAUACAUAGAUGAAGUGCUUCCUGGCAGUGGAGGAACAGAAGGAGGCAAAGGGCUGGCCGAUAUGUCCUAUCAGAGGUACUCAGGUUGAAGCAAGGCCCUCACCCAAGUGUGGAAGACUACCUCAAGCAAGAGGUUACAGACAGGGAUGUCCCGAUGAUGUCCCUGAAAAGCAGUUGGACCAGAAGGCAGAAAGAGAAAGAAGUGAAUUCCAGGUGAACAGGAGAGAGAAAGCACUUCAUAUUCCUAGAAGACAAAACUACAGAUAGAUGGACGCUGAGGGGUAGGUUGGAGGAAGGAAGAGCUGAGAGACAAAUUCACAGAACAGUAGUGUAGAUGGCAUACAUGGGCAUAGGGAGGAUCAAAAUGAAAGCCAAGAAAUGCUGAAUAGCAGCAAGAAAGUAUAAUCUGAGUGAAGCAGUGGUUGAAAUUGACUUUUUAGGACCAAGCAAAGGAUAUUUGAACAGGGAGAAGAUUGGCUGUCGUUCAGGAGGAAGGAUGAAAGAACAGGAUUGGAGGCCAGAGGAGAUACAAAUAGAUAGAGAAAAUUCUGAGGAAGAAAAGAAUGCUGACUGUAUCAAAAUGAGAAACAGCGAUAGAUGAAGGACUUUUGAAAGGGUAAGAGAAUGGAAAUCUCCGGAGCAAAAGGGGACAGUGUAAGUGAAUGAAAAACAAUGCUGAUAUGGCUGAUGAAUCUUCAUAAAGGCAUCUCUUCUAAUCAAAUAAAUAGAAAAUUGCCUGCUGAUUUCAGUAAGGAUAUCAAUUCAGCUGUAAGGAUGUGGAGACUCUCUAAAGUUUUGAACAGGGGCAUCACAGAGUGGGGCUACGUACUUGUCCAACAAUUGUGUACUAUUUUAAAAAUAUGUACUGGGGGCCUGUUCCCAAGUUUGGUAAAGAUAAUUCACUUCGAAGUAUGUGUUUAUGUCUGUGUAAGAAGUUCUUCAGUUGUCUGUGACCCUAAGUGGACUAUAACUGCUCCAAUUUUAGCACCACAGUUACAGCAGAUGAUAAUGCUUUACAUAGCUAUUUGUCCAAUAGCAGAUGCCUGUGGCAGGAUUUAAAAUUUACCUCUAAAAAUUGCCUUCUGGCCUAACGACAUAGGUCUUGUUAAUGUUAAUUGAUGUUUGCUAUCUGAAUCCUUGGAAAACCGUUUCAAAUUUUACUUUCAGCCUUCAGUCUGUAUCCUAACUUAUCUUUAAACUCUCUGUGAAUGUAUUUCUGGUUGUCAAGCAAAUACUGUUUCUAAUUAAUUUAACUUUUAAAAUUCUCUUUCCUUAUAUAAGCAGAGGAAUAUUUAGUUAGUGUAAUGCCCCACAUGUGAAACAUUUGAGUAUCAACUACACAGUAACUUCACUCUGAGAUAAUAUUCUUGAGUGGUCUGUGUGUCAACUUUUAUUAUUCCUCAUUAACCUUUUAGCAUUCAGCCUCCAGUUUUCAGUAUCAGAGAGCAGACAUCAGCUCUGCAGCAGCCAGUAGUUUCUCCUGCCACUGGACUCUAAUACAAACCAAGGAGAAGUGCAUUUUUUCAUUCCUUUUAGACCACACGCAUUCGCUUAUGACAACAACUGAAAUUCUUUGAGAAUUGCUAUGUUGUUUUUUUUUUUUCUGAAAUGAAUUCUCCCCUGAAGCAUAAUGCAUGCUGCUACUUUGCUGAAUAGUUUUUCUGCUAAUUCCUUUUUCCUCCAGCACAAGUUAUAUGUCUGCAACCUUUCAGCACUUGCAGUGUGCAAUAUUUUAAAAUUUUUGGGACUGUUGAUCAUUUUUUCUGUCAUUUUCCAUCUAUCUCAUACAAUUUUCCUCACUUUAUUCUGUUAAGUCCUACUCUUGCUACAUCAUAUUACAGAUUUUCAGUCUUUUUUUACCCUCAACACCCUUGGUAUUGAAUGAGCUUCUUGCAGGCUUUUUGGAGGAUAAUACUGUCAGCUGAAAGACUUCUAAGACCUCUGUGAAUUGCCAGGUACCAACUACCAUCAAAAAUUGGUUUUAACUUUAUUUUUGCUGCAUUUAUGUUUGCCCUCAUUAGUCAUAGCUCUGGAUUUUCAUAUUCUGUCUUCUGAGCUGCAGUCUCCUCUCUGACAUGCUCUGUCUGAGUCAUCUCUAUUGGUCUUUUUUUUUUUUUUUUCACUUUUGUCCUAAUAAUUCAUUUUAAAAGAAUAAUUACUAGGAGGGCAGCUCCUACUGCAGAGGUAAUAUGCUUUUAUAAUAUUCUAAAUUGUUCAACUUUGUAUAUAAUAUUUUAGUAUCACACUCCUCUGAGUGGCUUACAUUAACUGUGUAACUGCUGUGCAAUGCAAAUACACUUCCUCUAAGAAACUUCAUACAACUGCCAGGUUAGCCACGGCAACAUUUUAGUGUUCUUGAAAUUGUAUCUGUUUUCUGCCAAAGUCUCCAAUUUUAGUAAGAAUACUUUUGAAAUUGAAUCAAUAUGAAUGUCUUGUAGUUUUCACUGACUAGAAAUGGUGAGCCAUGCAUCACAAAUGCCUACCCAGGCAUUCUGUAAUCUACUCACAGGCUGUGGUAUGUAAAACAAGCAUUUCAAAUACUCACCAUACAUAGUCCAAAAGCAUACAGCUAAAGAAAAUAAUACUAUGAUAUCUAGCAUAAAAUGACUUUUUCAUUGGUUCCAUUAUGUUAUUAAUAUUUGUAGCUGGUAUUCAUGGCAUAUUUUCUUUUUUAUUGCCUUCUAUGCGUUUCUUUAUAGUCCACCUCAAUGAUAUUCAGUUUUUAUAAUACCCAAAGUCUUGAAUAUGCCAGAUUCAAAAUGUCUGCUCUUAGUUUCCAGGGUCCUGCCAACAAAAUAAUUCAACCUACACAUUCAUUUCACACUGCUGAGCCCUGGCUUUGCAGCUUUAGCAGUCACUCUUCUGUCUGAACACAUCUCCUCAGUUCCACCAUUUCAUCAUUUUCUUCUCCCUGUCCCACUUCAUUUGUGCUCAUUUCAUGAGGCAUAGCAUAUCUUGUAAUGCAGUAUAUAUUCUUCUACCCUGACUUGUUUUGCAGUAAGCAUGCAAAUGCAUAGGUUUUGAUGAUCCUUCCUGAUAUCUUUUCUGAAAUUGUCCUUGUAGCUGUAAUUCCAGUCAUUUUAUAUUUGCAAAAAUUAAAAUGCUGAAAGAAUACAAAACUUCUGGUUAUUUUGUAAUUUUAUAUAUUUAUGAUUUUGUGAAAACAGGAAAAUUAUGUAUAUCAACACUAUCACAUAUUCUGUUUUAUUUCUCUACCAAAAACAGUCAUUUUUCACUAGGAUAUAUCUUAUGGCCAUUAUUAUUUUGGCACACAAAGACUAUCCUAAUGCCACAGACAGCAUUUGUAGUAAUCCUUUUUAACCAUUUAUCAAAUUAUAUGUAUUUCAGUGCAUUUGGAUAAAAUUAAUGGUUUUUUUGUCUGUUUGUUGUUUUUUUUUUUGUCUGAUAGGAGAGAGUGGACAUUUUCUUAAUUUUGAAAAUGUGACUUCUUUAAAAUCCAUUUGUUUUGAUUUAGAUUUACAGAGGCUCAAUUAUUAGAUGAGUACUGCCAUUUGACUGGAGUAGAGUAGGAGUUACACACAGAAAAAAUAUUCUCUCUUUCUUUAAGUAGUGUAUCCAUUUCUCCAUGCUAUCAUUUCCCUUUAUUUUAAUAGCUUGUUUUUUGCACUUUUUUUCUAGGCGUAGUUGUGUACCCACCACCUUGCUUCCUCUCAGGUUCUGAUCCACUUCCUCAUCUUCUAUGUCCUUCAAAUAUUGGCAGAAUGUCAACCCAUCCUCUCUUUACACUUUACUGCCUUAUCUGAGCAUGCAAAAGACAGUGAACUUUGCAGUCAUAGUAAUGCCUGUAUUUAUACCUUCUUUCUGGAGAACUGAAAAACAGAAGGAGUUUCUUUGCUUCAAAUUCCAUUCAACCUGUCUUUUAAACCACACUGUACACCACGUUGGAAACCCAGCUUGGGGAAAGUAAAAUUCCAUUAUCAUUUCUACUUAGCUCUUUCUUCACAGGCUAGUAGGCCCAAGCUUUCAGUAAUUUUGUUGCGUAUCACUGAGCUGCCAGCAACUUAAUGACAUGUAUUUUGUAAUGAAUUGCUUACAAAUAAAUAUCAUAUUUCAGAAGUUAUUGCAUCAGAAUCCAGCUUGCAAAGUCAAAAAUUGCAUUUGAUUUUUCACUGACUUAUACUGUACAGUUGUAUCUACUGGUCAGGUCUGUACCUGAAUGUUAUGGUGCUACAAUUUGGAUGAUGAUUAUGCUAUUUAAAAUAGUGUGCACCUUUAAGUGAAGAUGUAAGUAUGGGUGUACUUCAGAUGGAGAUUGCUUAAAUCUGUUCCUGUGUUGAAUAUCUAUACCAUUAUGCAGCACACUGGUACUUGUAGGAUCAUGAACACUCAAGGAGCAUAGUACAGCUUUAAAUAUAUAUCAUACAGUUAGAGUGGGAGAACUUGCACUUUAAGACAAGCCUCUUUGGUUUCUCUAAUCACUCAGACUUUUUCAACCCUAAAAACUUCCAAGUUUUCCCUUCUACUUAAAUAUUUGAACUGCGGAUCAUUUUUUUCUGAGGUAUAUUAGCUUUCAUUUUUCCCAUGUUAAAUCUCAUGGGCAGUUAGCCAGCUUCUUUAUUACUCCUCCUAUAAUCUUUUAACCCUCCCUUCAUUUUCUGCUUUCUGAACCCUUUAUGCUGGAAUCAAAGUGAAUUCUGGAACAUAUGAGCACACAGCCACAUCCAUUUAAAAUUCCUAAAUGCACCCUUUUCCUUGAAGAAUGGAAUGGAUUUGUAUUCUUUGUAGCUUUGCACUGAUGUAAUGUCACUGGUUUCUAAAACACUGCUUAAUGUGAGAGAAGAGUCAGGCAGCAUGGUCCUGUUUUGAAGCCUACAGUUGAAAAGACCCUUAUUGACUUCGGUAGGCUUGCGAUUCAGACAUAAAUCUGUGAAGCCAAAUGAUAGGGUCAAUGGUUUAGUACUCUAUAAAUUUCAUUUAAUAAAUGAAUGCAAAAUUUGAUCCAAAAUGUCCCCAUAAAUUUAUACUCUCUUUUCACAUCCUUUAAAUCAAUAUGGAGCCAACACAAGGAAUGUAUCAGUGUCAACCUUCCAAUAGCUCUGCCACUGUUGUCUUUUGUUUUAUAUGCCUUUUCUUUUAAAGAUAGGAAAACAAAUACCUCUACAUUGUUCAUUUUUAAUAACUAUAUAAAUCCAAAUUCAGAGUGACUUCCGGGGUUUUAUUUCAAUUAUAUCUUAAAAAAAAUAUUGUACAAAUUCAAAAUCACUCUCUGAGAAAAAAAUCAAUCUGUACAAAAUUUUAACCCCUUGUAAUGUGUCUUAAUGAAGUAACUGUUAAAAACCCAGGAAAAAAAAGUCUGUAACAGCAGCAAUGACAAUGACGCUACUGCAUCACACAGAGCCUGCAGAGGGCAUUUAGGCCUUCUUCAGAAAGAUAUGGGAAGAUGUUGAUGUAUCUCAUAAAGCUGACAGGUCAUCGCUACCCAUUGUCUCGCAGAAUAGAUUAAUAGAUUCAUUGGUUCUUACUAGACAAAAAUGUUCACAGCAGAUAGAAUUUAUCCUGAAAAGUUGCUGCAUUCUGCUUGCUGGUACAAAAUGCUCUUCAGCUUUCCAUCUUUCAAUUGUUGGCAGGUACUCAAAUAAGAAACACAGAGAGCCAGUUUACAGUUAUGGGUCUCUGUCCUCACUCAUAAUUAUAGUUCUUAGAUAGAUUUUUAAAAGCAUUUUGUCCAGAAUAGAACAUUACAUAGACCCCAGGGGCACAAUUAAUCAUUCUCCAGAUAUGUCAAUGGUGUGAUACAAGAGUUGGUAAAUUUAAUGCUUUUUUUUACUUUUUUCUGGUGCGUUGCAUGUAAAAAAAAAAAAAAAAAAAAAAAAAAGGAAUUAUUUGGCAAUACACCUCAGAUCAUUACAAAAUAUUCUACUGUGGCAUUCCAACCUUGACAGCCACAGAUCAGGUCUGGAAAAAAUUCAUGGAGAGCCAAAGGGGACUUGUAAAGCCAAACUAAUCUUCAUUCUGUUUUCCUAAAUACAUUCACCUGAGGCACUCCACUAUAUUUGUUAUAGAGAGGAUUGAAAAAGAGGAAAACAACUAAUAUCUUUUACAGUGAAAAAAUUAGAGAAGUAGUUUAAUGCUUACUAACAUUGAUGAAGAUUUAGCAUUUGUAUGAAUAUUACUUUUGAUGGGAUCGAGCAAUGAAUGGCUCAUCAAGGCCAAGUGUAGAAUUUAUAAGCUGGUUCUAUAUCAUCUUGGAACUGAUAUGAAAACUGUUUCAUCAUAGUCUCUGUGUCCAAUGCCUUUCAAACCAUGUAUAAAAAAAUCACAAAACCUCAGCAAGCAUUGCUUGUUUAUUACCUGCUGUUAUAAAACAAAUGCCAUAUAUGUGGA